AGCCUCUCCGGAGCGAUCCAGACUACCUUUUCUAACAGAUGAACAGAUGCCUUAACGACUGAGCUGACCCGAGCUGGCAUUACCCUGAGAGCAGAGAGUAUAAGACUGAGAGCGGUCACUGCCCUGAGUUCCCGAGAGAGAGAGAGAGAGGGUGGCGGGAGAGAGAGUGCAAAGAGCCAGCACUCCCCUCGCAGACUUGUCCCCUCUGUUUUUCUGAAACAGGCAGUGCUCUUUUGAAACGGUGCCAAUGGAGGCUGGCCCAAGCCCCUGCAGCUGAAACUUUUACAAGCUCAGUGUUCGCGAGCAGGAAGAGAAAGACACAGAGUUAAGAUUUUGCAGCUCCUCUUAUCUACUCUUCUGCAACCUGCCUGAGAUGUCAGCACAAUGAUUCAUGUUUGCUUUUUUUUGUUCAUUUAAACUAAAAAUUCUUCAAGAAUAUGUACAGAAAUGUUCUGGAAAGAAGACUGCAUGAGGAGAGAGAGGAUUUAAAGUAUUUCUAUGGAAAUAAUUGCUUAAAAAAAUUAAGAGUCAGUGACGUCACACAGGAAGCUGUCUUGGAUAUUGCCUGAGGAAAGAAACUGAUGAGUGUCCGUGGCACUCUGUGGCGUGGACAAAAUUAAAUUGUUGUGCCCUAUUCAGGACUCGCACAUUGGAUUAUUUUAAUGUUUUUCAUUUCUUGGUGAUGUUCCAUGGGAAACAUUAUCUUUGGAUUCGCUUGUUCCCAGAGACUGACCCUUCCCUUGCCCUUAUAUUCCCUUCAGAGCACCAUGACACAUUUUGUUACUUGAGGAUGUAUUGUGGUAAACAUCCUAGACCACUUGUUUGGUUUGUUAUGUUGACAGUAAACACUGGUUUCCAUACACUAGUACAACCAAAUUAAAUCAAAACCUCAGUGGUUACCAUUCUUUUUUAUCGACUCUGACAAAAAUCCGAAUAAAAACACAGGCAGGUGCAGAACAACUAAAGACGUCAGGAGUGACUGCCGAAAAUGGGAACUAUGAGGCAUGUACUACCUGGGAAUGAUGCCAACUGCUGACAAAAGGCUUUACUGCACGGUUCUGAGAGAAGCCUUUAACUCAUUUGCUCUGCAAUGCUUCAGGAAUAUCUGGCACUGAAUUGUUUGGCCAACUGUAGAUAAAUCUGUCAAACCUUUUGGCUUUCUUACAAGACAGCAUGUAAGUACUCAUUUCUAAUUCCAUACCCGAGCUUAUUUCUCUCUCUGUUUCUCUCUGUUUCUUUUCCCCUCCUAGCCCCUAACCCUUCAGUCAAGUGAGAUGUCUACUUGAUGACACAUAAUCUACAGUUCAUGUGACGGCUCCCCUUUAUGUGGCUACUUAACUCAUUCUGUGACUUUACCUCAAAGCAAAACUCUAUUUUAAGCAUAUUCCAGGUGGAUUUCAUAUCUUUAGUAAGAGCAUGUAAGCACAAUUUUGUAACUUCAUGAUUUCUUUUCCUGCCUCCCUUUCUCCUUGCUGUCUCUCCCUCUUGGCAGCAGGGCAAAAGUGGGCAGGGAGAGAGGAGGGCAUGGCCCAGAAACUGCUCUCAAGCCCCAACCCCUGUUCAAGUGGGGUUACUUACUCAGCCUUUCCCUCGUCUUGCAGGCGAAAGAGAGGGAUGUGGAAAUGCAUUCUUGUCUCUUUUCUAACCCUCCUUUUUUUUUCCACCGUCACCAUGGCCUAAUUCUCUGCGGGUGAAUACUAGCCUGACCUGUACAAAAAACUCACCUUCAGGAUUGCUACGUAGGUGCGAGAAAUCUGCACCAGAGGCAACAUAAAAUAUCCUUCAGCUGUACUGUGGCUACUGCUUCCCAUGUAUUUUACCACAAAAUUAAAAAGUAUCUCAAAUGGGUGGAAUAAGAGACAGGAUGAUCUGCUGUGAUGCCGAAACCUGUAUUCACAUGGGAAAAUAACCCAUCCCUCACCUCUGGGGAGGACAUUGCAGACACAACAAAGACUUUAUAUAUUUUCCAAGACACAAUGGUGGAAUUGAUGUAUUCUAACAACAUGUAUUGAAGUUGGUACAUAUUGAAUGAAGUCUUAUUUUUAAGGAUAUUUAUUGGUGGCUGAAGUUGAGCCUAGCAAGGUGAGGUAGUAGGUUGUAUAGUUUGUGGGAUGGAGUAAAUCCUACUCAGGUGAUAACUAUACAGUCUAUUACCUUCCUUGAGAGGUAAAAUGAGUGCUUGGAAUGAAGCUCACUCAGACUGACACACAAGUGGUGAAGGAGCCACUCUGACGCCAUCAUGUGGCCAAAGACUAUCAUCACUCUGGAAAUAAUCUUAGCUUUGGCACCUCUGUUGUGUGUAUCUGGGGCCUGUUCACAAAACAUCCUAAUGCUAAAAGUAGUUCCUAACUGGUGGAGUUAGGAGAAAUAAGGGCUGUAUUAGUCCUAACUUUAGGACUCCUAAGUUUUUGGUCUAAGAUUAAUUCACAAAGCAUUUUAACAUUAAAAGUAGGUCCUAAAUCUGAGAGAAGUUAGAGGCAGCCCAGAGGUCGCUAAGACCUACUUACAGUCAGUAAUGUGCUGCAGGUAAUGUGUCGCAUUGCUUCAGUUUUUUGUAAAAACAGAAUAAUAAUGAACUUUUAAUCUGUAUUUUGACAGCAGCCAUUUAAUAAUUCAGUCGGCUCACCAACAAAUCAAAACAAUCCAAUAACACCGGAGAUGACAGUUUGCACAACUCUAUGCUACUUUGAGAUCGGUAAAACACAGUUUGCAGCACUGAUAAUCUCAGCCUCAGCCAUCUGACAGAAUUAUUCAUCAAACCAAAAAUGCACUCUUCAGAGCCCAGUUUGUUUUACAGUUAAAUUGCAUUAAAUGCACAUUAAAUAAUCCCCAAACACAUAACCCACAUAAAUAAAGGUAAUUUCAUGCUCAUUGCUGGAUAUUCCAGUAAAAUCGGUGCUAUAUGUAUGUUCGCCUGUGUAUGUUCUUGUUCAUGUUACUAUGUUGAUUGUUUUGUGUUGUUUGGAUUGUUUAAUUAACUAUCAUUACUUUUAUGUAUUUAUUUUUUGUUUAAAUGUCUGUUAAUUUCCAUGUUUUUGUGUCUGAGGACCCUCCUUGAAAACGAGAUGGUGCAUCUCAAGGGAUUUAUCCUCAAAUUAAAUUUGAAGUCAGUUUUGUGGCCUAGAAUUACCACGUCAAAGCAUGACAAUUUGUUUUGUCAGCUGGAGAAAAUAUCAUAUCCUGAUGGUAUUUGAUGCCACAUACAAUAAACAAGUCAAUAUUUUA